CCUGACUGCUAUCGGAUUGAUACUAAGCCAUGCGAGUCAUUGUAGUAAUACAAGGCAGACGGCUCAGUAACGCGUAGUCAACCUACCCUAUGGACGGGGAUAACCUCGGGAAACUGAGAAUAAUACCCGAUAGAACAUUAUGCCUGGAAUGGUUUAUGUUUCAAAUAAUUUAUUGCCGUAGGAUGGGACUGCGGCCUAUCAGUUUGUUGGUGAGGUAAUGGCCCACCAAGACUAUUACAGGUACGGGCUCUGAGAGGAGUAGCCCGGAGAUGGGUACUGAGACACGGACCCAGGCCCUAUGGGGCGCAGCAGGCGAGAAAACUUUGCAAUGUGCGAAAGCACGACAAGGUUAAUCCGAGUGGUUUCUGCUAAAGGAACCUUUUGUCAGUCCUAGAAACACUGGUGAAUAAGGGGUGGGCAAGUUCUGGUGUCAGCCGCCGCGGUAAAACCAGCACCUCAAGUGGUCAGGAUGAUUAUUGGGCCUAAAGCAUCCGUAGCCUGCUUUGUUAGUUUUCGGUUAAAUCCAUACGCUUAACGUAUGGGCUGCCGGGAAUACUGCAAAGCUAGGGAGUGGGAGAGGUAGACGGUACUCGGUAGGAAGGGGUAAAAUCCUUUGAUCUAUUGAUGACCACCUGUGGCGAAGGCGGUCUACCAGAACACGUCCGACGGUGAGGGAUGAAAGCUGGGGGAGCAAACCGGAUUAGAUACCCGGGUAGUCCCAGCUGUAAACUAUGCAAACUCGGUGAUGCAUUGGCUUGAUGCCAAUGCAGUGCCGCAGGGAAGCCGUUAAGUUUGCCGCCUGGGAAGUACGUACGCAAGUAUGAAACUUAAAGGAAUUGGCGGGGGAGCACCACAAGGGGUGAAGCCUGCGGUUC
rnacentral:rRNA from 1 species